AGAUUGAACGCUGGCGGCAUGCCUUACACAUGCAAGUCGAACGGCAGCACGGGAGCAAUCCUGGUGGCGAGUGGCGAACGGGUGAGUAAUAUAUCGGAACGUGCCCAGUCGUGUGGGAUAACGUAGAGAAAUUUACGCUAAUACCGCAUACGAUCCAAGGAUGAAAGCGGGGACCGUAAGGCCUCGCGCGACUGGAGCGGCUGAUAUCAGAUUAGCUUGUUGGUGAGGUAAAAGCUCACCAAGGCGACGAUCUGUAGCUGGUUUGAGAGAACGACCAGCCACACUGGACUGAGACACGGCCAGACUCUACGGAGCAGCAGUGGGGAAUUUUGGACAAUGGGCGAAAGCCUGAUCCAGCAAAUGCCGCGUGCAGGAAGAAGGCCU
rnacentral:rRNA from 1 species